AGACCUCAGGUCAGGCGGGGCUACCCGCUGAAUUUAAGCAUA
rnacentral:rRNA from 2 species